GAUGAACGCUGGCGGCGUGCCUAAUACAUGCAAGUCGAGCGAACAGACGAGGAGCUUGCUCCUCUGACGUUAGCGGCGGACGGGUGAGUAACACGUGGAUAACCUACCUAUAAGACUGGGAUAACUUCGGGAAACCGGAGCUAAUACCGGAUAAUAUAUUGAACCGCAUGGUUCAAUAGUGAAAGACGGUUUUGCUGUCACUUAUAGAUGGAUCCGCGCCGCAUUAGCUAGUUGGUAAGGUAACGGCUUACCAAGGCAACGAUGCGUAGCCGACCUGAGAGGGUGAUCGGCCACACUGGAACUGAGACACGGUCCAGACUCCUACGGGAGGCAGCAGUAGGGAAUCUUCCGCAAUGGACGAAAGCCUGACGGAGCAACGCCGCGUGAGUGAUGAAGGUCUUCGGAUCGUAAAGCUCUGUUAUUAGGGAAGAACAAAUGUGUAAGUAACUAUGCACGUCUUGACGGUACCGAAUCAGAAAGCCACGGCUAACUACGUG
rnacentral:rRNA from 1 species